GAUGAACGCUGGCGGCGUGCCUAAUACAUGCAAGUCGAGCGAACAGACGAGGAGCUUGCUCCUCUGACGUUAGCGGCGGACGGGUGAGUAACACGUGUAUAACCUACCUAUAAGACUGGUAUAACUUCGGGAAACCGGAGCUAAUACCGUAUAAUCUAUUGAACCGCAUGGUUCAAUAGUGAAAUACGGUUUUGCUGUCACUUAUAGAUGGAUCCGCGCCGCAUUAGCUAGUUGGUAAGGUAACGGCUUACCACGGCAACGAUGCGUAGCCGACCUGAGAGGGUGAUCGGCCACUGUGGAGCUGAGACGCGGUCCAGGCUCCUACGUGAGGCAGCAGUAGGUAAUCUUCCGAAAUGGGCGAAAGCCUGACGGAGCAACGCCGCGUGAGUGAAGCAGGUCUUCGGGUCGUAAAACUCUGUUAUUAGUGAAGAACAAAUGUGUAAGUAACUAUGCACGUCUUGACGGAACCUAAACAGAAAGCCACGGCUAACUACGU
rnacentral:rRNA from 1 species